GACAGAGGGUGCGAACGUUGUUCGGAAUUACUGGGCGUAAAGCGCGUGUAGGUGGCCCGGCAAGUCGGAUGUGAAAGCCCUCGGCUCAACUGGGGAAGUGCAUCCGAAACUACCGGGCUCGAGUGUCGGAGAGGGAAGUGGAAUUCCCGGUGUAGAGGUGAAAUUCGUAGAUAUCGGGAGGAACACCAGUGGCGAAGGCGGCUUCCUGGACGAACACUGACACUGAGACGCGACAGCGUGGGGAGCAAACAGG
rnacentral:rRNA from 1 species